rnacentral:rRNA from 1 species
AGGACGAACGCUGGCGGCGUGCCUAAUACAUGCAAGUCGAACGGCUUUUCUAUGGAAGCUUGCUUCCACUGAGAAGAUAGUGGCGAACGGGUGAGUAACACGUGGGUAACCUGCCCAUAAGAGGGGGAUAACAUCCGGAAACGGGUGCUAAUACCGCAUAGUUUUCUUGAUCGCAUGAUUGAGAAAGGAAAGACGGCCUUUGUGCUGUCGCUUAUGGAUGGACCCGCGGCGUAUUAGUUAGUUGGUGAGGUAACGGCUCACCAAGACGAUGAUACGUAGCCGACCUGAGAGGGUGAUCGGCCACAUUGGGACUGAGACACGGCCCAAACUCCUACGGGAGGCAGCAGUAGGGAAUCUUCCGCAAUGGACGAAAGUCUGACGGAGCAACGCCGCGUGAGUGAAGAAAGGUUUUCGGAUCGUAAAACUCUGUUGUCAGAGAAGAACAAGUUGGAGAGUAACUGCUCCAGCCUUGACGGUAUCUGACCAGAAAGCCACGGCUAACUACGUGCCAGCCGCGGC